GAUGAUAUGAUGCUCAUGUCUGAUUCUCUUUCCAACCUAGAAGGUACAGCACCUAGACUGCUGCGACAUCUACAGGAGAAAGGAGGGCUUGUGUACAGCACCAAAGUUCAGAGACCAGGUUAAUCUCCUCUAAUGUCCUUGUGAAUUGGGUGCACAUUCGACCAAAACCUGUUACUCUCUGGGUGGGCACAGAGCUCCCUAUUAGUACUGCUACUGGCCUCCUAUGGAAAGUACAAAUCAUGAACUGGAACUGGUUUGAAUACAGUUGUAAUGACCACUGAUGGCAGUUGAUCUCCUCAGGCUUGAGGCACAAGGCAGAAGAUCAGGGGCACAGAGUGAGACAUGAGCCGUCGGAAGCUGCCCUGCCUUUUCCCCUUCACAGGAUACCCGGAGACACCAUGUGGUGUGAGGCAUUCAUUUGCAGAUUCUUUUGGCUGCCCUGUAUCCCUCUCGAUCUCUUAUUUCUGGAAACUGUGAAUCGAUGCUGGAUAUGGCCUUCAGAGUGCAUCAGUUUAAUCCCUACCUGAUGCCAUCCUCAGCUGUUUAAAACAAUAUAAUCCACCCCAGAAGCCAAUUUGGGAAGCCCUGGCCUUCUCUGCUUCCUAAUUCUCUGGAACUCAAUGCAAGUACUUGCUUGAUACUAGGGCUCCAGGAGCCAUGGAAGCCAGCGCUAGAAAGUGGGGCUGUGAGAUGGAAGGGUCGUCUGCUGCUCAUGGAACUGCCAUCUGUACCCUGUACGACCUCCCUCCACUCUUCUUUGGUGUAAGAAGUAAAUAAAUCCCCAUCUAA